ensembl:lncRNA
UGGGGUCAGUACAUUUUUCUUCUUUUUUUUUUUUUUUUUAAAGAAUUGUUUUUUUCUGUAUUUUUGAUCACAUAAAUGCAGCCUUGAUGAGCAGAAGAGACUUCUUUAAAAACAUUACAAGUCUUACUGAUCACACACUUUUGAACGCUAGUGUAGGUUUGAAUAAAUCUGUCAUGAGAAGAAGUCAUAACAUCCACUGAUAUCAUAACUUCAGUAACAUAUAAAAACAAUUCUAUCAUUAAAAACUUAUAAUGCAUUUUUAUUAUAAAAACGGCUUCAAGUGCAGUUGCACAUUGUAAUAUUAUGAUUAACAUAAUAUACUGAAACUGAAUGCAUAUUUAUUCAAAUGAAUCAAAUUGAGAUGUGAAUCUAAAUCAAAUCAUGAAACUAGUCUCAAUCCCCAGCCCUAAUAUCACCCUUUAAUCGAAUCUUCCUGAAGAAGAAAGUCCGCUCGAAUCACUGUUCUCAGAUUGUGCUGUGUUUGGAUGCUAGAAUGAUUGGUACAGUGAGGAGGAGGUGGACAUUGUGACAUAUGAGGAGUACGAUGAGAAGAUGAACAUCAGCCUCUUAAGAGCCAAGGCGAGACGGAGAACACAGCAAACAGCUCAGAGUCAAUGGCUUCUGAAAUGUAAAUCAGCGGCCCAUCAUGCAGUGCGGCUGAUGUCUGAUCUGCCGCUGUAUAAGCGAGCGUGGUGUCUGAACCGAACGCUGAGAGAACGGAAGCAGCUCGCUGAACUACAGCAGAGUUUGGACUCGCUGAAGAGGACGCUGGGUGUUGAAGACGUCGUCAUGAUGAGCACUCAAGACCUGCUCCGAGAGGCUCGUCAGAUGAUCGGAGCUCUUGAGGAGCACAGCACAACUCUGAUGGCCAAGAAACGGGCCUUGAUUCGGCAGCAUUCUCUUUAUCAGACUCUGAUCUCACAGCGCUCCGGUGCAGACGGUAAAUCAUGAGCGUUACACACCGUACGUGUGUGUGUGUGUGUGUGUGUGUCUGUGUGUUUGAGUCUGUGUCUGUCUGUCUGUCUGUGUCUGUGUGUGCAUGCGAGAGUGAGUGUGUGAAGAGUGUGUGUGUGAGUGUGUUUGUGCGUGUGUGAGAGAGAGAGAGUGUGUGUGUGUGUGUGUGUGAGAGAGAGAGAGAGAGAGUGUGUGUGUGUGUGUGUGUGAGAGAGAGAGAGAGAGAGUGUGUGUGUGUGUGUGUGUGAGAGAGAGAGAGAGAGAGUGUGUGUGUGUGUGUGUGUGAGAGAGAGAGAGAGAGAGUGUGUGUGUGUGUGUGUGUGAGAGAGAGAGAGAGAGAGUGUGUGUGUGUGUGUGUGUGAGAGAGAGAGAGAGAGAGUGUGUGUGUGAGUGUGUUUGUGCGUGUGUGAGAGAGAGAGAGUGUGUGUGUGAGUGUUUGUGCGUGUGUGAGUGUGCGCGUUGCUUGAGAGUGUGUGCGUGAGAGUGUGUCCGUGUGUGAGAGUGUGUGUGUGUGUGUGCGUGUGUGAGAGAGAGAGAGAGAGUGUGUGUGUGUGUGUGCGUGUGUGAGAGAGAGAGAGAGAGUGUGUGUGUGUGUGUGCGUGUGUGAGAGAGAGAGAGAGAGUGUGUGUGUGUGUGUGCGUGUGUGAGAGAGAGAGAGAGAGUGUGUGUGUGUGUGUGCGUGUGUGAGAGAGAGAGAGAGAGUGUGUGUGUGUGUGUGCGUGUGUGAGAGAGAGAGAGAGAGUGUGUGUGUGUGUGUGAGAGAGAGAGAGAGUGUGUGUGUGUGUGUAGGGAUCUUAACCCUGACAUGUGAAAAUAAUAGCAAGA